rnacentral:tRNA from 4 species
GCCGGAAUAGCUCAGUCGGUAGAGCAGAGGACUGAAAA